rnacentral:rRNA from 1 species
AAAACUGAAGGGUAUUUAUGAGUUAGUACGAGUUAGCUUUCAUAUCACUAUGAGUACACAUCUCGCCUAUCACGUAGUAGUCUUCUACGACCUCGAAAACUUGUUUUAAGAAAUGAAUUCCUGCUUGAGAUGCUUUCAGCAGUUCUACAUUCCGAACGUAGCUACUCAGCGAUGCUGCUGGCGCAACAACUGAUACACUAGAGGUUCGUCAUUUCCGGUCCUCUCGUACAAGGAAAUGGUUCUCUCAAUUUUCAACACCCGAAAAAGAUAGGAUCCGUACUGUCUCACGACGUACUAAACCCAACUCACGUACCGCUUUCAUCGGCGAACAGCCGAACCCUUCGAACCUUCUUCAGCUCGAGGAUGCGAUGAGUCGACAUCGAGGUGCCAAACGACUCCGUCGAUAAGAGCUCUUGGGAGUCAUCAGCCUGUUAUCCCUAGCGUACCUUUGAUCCGUUGAUCGAGAGCCUUUCCACCAAGAACUCCCGGGUCACUAUGGCCGACUUUCGUCUCUGCUCGACUUGUAAGUCUUACAGUCAGGCAAGCUUUUACCAUUACGCUCUGCGGCUGAUUUCCGUCCAGCCUGAGCUUACCUUCGCACACUUCCGUUACUCUUUAGGCAGUGGAAGAAAAGAGCCAAUUAUUUUUUUUAGGUUAGAAAAAUGAGAAAGAAAGGGUGGUAUUUCAUUGAUGGAACAAAAACAAAAGUUUUUGCACCUCCCACCUAUUCUACACAUUCAGACUCUUUUUUCAAUGUUAAACUAUAGUAAAGGUGCAUAGGGUCUUACCGUCUACUUUCGGGAACUCCGCAUCUUCACGGAGAAUUCAAUUUCACUGAGAUCAUGUUGGAGACAGCGGGGAAGUCGUGACACCAUUCAUGCAGGUCGGAACUUACCCGACAAGGAAUUUCGCUACCUUAGGACCGUCAGAGUUACGGCCGCCGUUUACUGGGCCUUGCAUUGAGAGCUUGUUUACUUCCUAAAACUCAUUGAAUUUUAGGACGAAACGCACCCCUCCUGUUAAGUUUCCAGCACCGGGCAGGUGUCAGACCCUAUACAUCGUGUUACCACUUAGCAGAGUCCUGUGUUUUUAAUAAACAGUCGCCACCCCCUCUUUUGUGCCACAUGGGGAGCCAAUAAAAAAUUUUGGCACUUCCAUGUCCUCCUUUUUCCGAAGUUACGGAGGUAAUUUGCCGAGUUCCUUCAACAUGAUUCUCUCUUAGCCUGAGUUUUUUCAACAAGUCCACCAGUGUCGGUUUAAGUACGGUUACUUUCUUCUAUUUUGUUGUAUUUAUUCUAAAUUGGUUGAUUUUAGAAUGAUAAAGCGAAAUUUAUCAAAAUUCUUUUAUGAUAAAAAGAUAAAAUCCACAAAAAGAGAGAUUUAGUUCUUUCCUGGACUAAUAGAGGUUUUUUUCUUAAAGAAAAACAAGAUAUCCAAUAACUUGUCUAAUCUCAAAUUAGUCGUCACUAAAUUGCGUAUCAAUGAAUCUUCAUCAUUGAACCCAUCGAAAACGAGCUGUCGCUCUUUCCUUAGGGGCCGAUUCACUCUACACCGAAAUACGGUCUGUAGAAAACCUAGGACUUUCGGCUAUCAUGAUUUUCACAUGAUUUAUCGUUACUCAUGUCAGCAUUCUCACUUCUGAUAUCUCUACUUGAUUUCACAAUCAAACUUCUAUGAUUUACAGAACGUUCUGCUACCUUUCAAAUACAAAAUCUACUAGUUCCAAAUUAGAAUAAUUUGGUUCUUAAUUACAAGUAAUUAAGAGACUAUUUAGUCAUAAAAAAGUAGAUGAAAUUUUGAAAUCGCCGCUUCGGUGAUUUUCUUGAGCUCCGUUACAUUUUAGGUGCUACUAGACAUAGACCAGUGAGCUAUUACGCUUUCUUAAAAGGAUGGCUGCUUCCAAGCCUACCUCCUGGUUGUCUUCGCCUAGUAACUUCCUUUACCACUCAGAAAAUGCUUUGGAACCUUAGCGUUCGAUCUGGGCUGUUUCCCUUUUGACUAAAGACCUUAGCGCCUUUAGUCUGUCUGUAUAGUUAGUAAAAAGGUAUUCGGAGUUUCCAUGGGAUCAGUAAGGCUUUGGGCCACCAUCACCCAACGAGUGCUCUACCUCCUUUUUACUUUUUAAUAUACGCUCUACCUCAAUAGAUUUCGCAGAAAACCAGCUAUUUCCAAGCUCGAUUGGCUUUUCACCCCAUAGUCACAAGUCAUCCCCAUCUAUUGCCACAGAUGUGGGUUCGGUCCUCCAAAACGUGUUAUCAUUUUUUCAACCUGCUCAUGACUAGAUCGCUUGGUUUCGGGUCAAAUUUAUGAAACUCGUGGUCUCUUUCUCCAUUACAAGUAAUGGAGAACUACUUGUAAUGGAGAAAACAAAAUUUGCUCUUUUCAAGCUCGCUUUAACUCCGCCUCCACUUAUGAGCUUAAGCUUGCUUCAUAAAUUUACUCGCUGACCCAUUAUGCAAAAGGUACGCCGUCACUUUUCUAAAGAAAAGCUUCGACUGCUUGUAAGCAUUCAGUUUCAGGUUCUAUUUCACACCCUAUUUAGGGGACUUUUUCACCUUUCCCUCACGGUACUUGUUCACUAUCGAUCAGAAGAAAAUAUUUAGGCUUAGAGGGUGGUCCCCCUUUUUAAAAUAUACAAAAAUAUAUUUUUUCUUCAAACAAAGGGUAUCUUCGUUUUACUCAGAUUUUUUCUCUUUCUCCAUUACUUGUAAUGGAGAACUCCUUCAUUUUUUGGAUCUACGGGACUAUUACCCUCUUUGGUGUGAUUUUCCAAACACUUGAAUCAUAAAAAAAAUCAAGGUAUUCCAAAUUUCAAGAAUUAGGAAAGAGAAAAAAAGCCUAAUCCGUGUUCGCUCACCACUACUAACAGAAUCUCGGUUGAUUUUUUUUCCUCUAGCUACUUAGAUGUUUCAGUUCACUAGGUAAUUUUUUAAUUUAAGUUUCCUUUAGGGAAAUCCAUAGGUCUCAGGAUUGAUGCACCUUGCUAUGGCGUUUCGUUGCUUUUAACGUCCCUAUUCUUCUUCUGUCUAGGCAUCCACUAAAUGCUCUUAAUA